rnacentral:rRNA from 1 species
AUGCUCUCAGUUACUGUCACGUGUCGCACUCUAGACGCUUUCUUCGGAUUUUUUUCACACGUUUUUGUCUUUUUAGAUGGGUUUUUCUCGUUUUUCUCGGCUUUUCACUGGUCUGCCUUAACUGUCGAACCAAAAAAAAAUCAAAUCUUUUUACACGAAAAACGCAUUUUUCUUAUUUUUCAUUCACUAGAGGCAUGGUCGUGCCUCUCGAAAACAGAAAAGAAUGCUUUUUUUUCUUUUUCCUUCCGUAGAGGCACGGUUUUUGCUUCUGUGCCUCUCGGAAAUGAAAAAAUUUGCAUUUUCCCUCCUGUGAGAAGCACGGUUUUGCUUUCACGACAGGCACGGCCGUGCCUCUCGAAAAUGGGAAAAACGUGUUUUUUCAUUUUUUUUUCUCUUUCGCGAGAGGCAUGUUUUUGCUUCCGUGCCUCUCGGAAAUGA